CUCAAAGUCUGCCAUGCGGUCACUUGUCUCACUGAUAUGUGACUCACUGUCCAUUUCAUGGCUUGAAAAUUCAGCUGCUGGAGAGUUUUGGUAGCUUUGGCAGUUCUUACUGAAGUCUUUUUCUGGACAUGCAUAUUUUGCAGAAGGCUCUCCAUCAGCUGUGUUUUCAUCAGCUUCUACAUCUUCUUCCACCAGUGCUGCUGCUUUUAGUUCAUCUGAAACAUAGGCUGCUGCGCGCCGGGGCGCCUGCUGCUUCCUCCUCGGCAUGCUGCGGGCGGCGGGGGGGGCUGCCUCGGCGCGGGGGUGGGAAGAGUUGCUUUAGCCCCAGAGAUCCGCUGCGCUGCUCCAGUCUCGGCUCGAGGGCUGGGUCGGGGAUAUAUUUUUUGUUGCUGUGCAUGCACGAUGCCGAGGAGGAGGAGGAGGAGGCGGCGGCGGAGGAGGAGGAGGCGGCACAGAGGAGAGGACAGCCCUGCUGCUGCUGCUGCUGCUGCUGCUGCUGGCAGAAGAGGGGGGAAGUUUGACAAAUCGCCCCGGAGGAAGGAGGAGGGGAAGCCCCCCGAAGAGGUGCGCGGGCGGGAGGGCCGGGGAGAGCCCGCGGCGCCGCACUCCGCCCCGCGCCCUCCGCCUGCCCCGGCGCGGGGCUGCUCACGGCAUGGGGCCGGCAGCGCCGGGCGGCACUCGGAGAGCCGCAGCCGGCGCUCGGCGCUCCGCGGCUCCGGGCUCGGCGCUGGAAGAGCGGCGGCGGCAACAGGCGAAGCUUGAAGGGAAACGAGACGAUCGCAGCGUCACUCAAACAUCCCGCCCGAGGGACGCGGCGCCGCGCUCCCGCAACUCCCGGCGCGGCGCGGACCCCCCCUCCGCCGCCCAACUUCGCCGCCGCUCCGCUCGGCGCCGCCCCCCCGCCCCGCACACGCCCGCCGCGUUCCCCUCGGCCCGGCCCCCCCGCCCCGACCCCGCCAGGUGACGGAGGCGGCCCCGCACCUCGGCCCGGCCCCGCUCCGGGGCCGCGGCUCCCACCUGGCUGGCGCCUGCGGGCGGGCGGGGCGGGGGGGGGCGCGGGGCGCUGCGGCCGUCAACGGCAGCGCCUUCAGCCGCGGGGCGGCGGCGGGCAGCGCCCUCACACCGCUCCGCGGGGCGCCCGCGCGCAGGCCGCCUUCUUUUCUCUCUCUUUUCGGAGCAUUUUGUUUUUUUCUUUUUUUUUUUUCCUUUUCUUUUUUUCCUUUUUUUUUUUUUUUUUUUUGGUCCAAGUUCACUGGCAAGCCGCCACCGCGCUCCGUUCGGCGAGCGGCGGCGGAUCGAUGCGCUGCGGGCUCGAUUGGGCGCCGCCUCUCGCAGCCCCCGUGUAUUGGCAGCAGGAGGGGGAGAAAAAACAGUAGCAAAUAUUUUUUUUUUCCUAAAGUUCACGGGGAGGAAUUAAAAAAAAAAAAAAAAAAAAAAAGAUGAUGAUGAUCUCAGUGUUACGGUAAGAUCAAAAGCACCUCCGCUCGCCACCGUUGCUCCGCGCUCGCGGUGUCUCCGAGCACCGCACCGUGCGGAUGCGGCGUCCCCGCGCCCCCCGGGCUGUGCGUUCGGUGCGCGGGGCGGGGGCUGAGCGAGCGGCGGCGGUCACGGGACGGUGGUUUUAACGCGGAGCGUAGGGCGAAAAACAAGCCGCCGGCGCCCGUAGUCCCCGGGAGCCCGGUACUGCCGGGGGAAACGAAACGUUUGUGGCGAACAGCGCGGCGAGCUGUCAGCGCAGCGCCCGGCUCCGUCCCGGCCGCGUCCGCGUGUCCGUGUGUGCGCGGGGCCGGGCCCGCUGUCCGCCCGCGUCCCCAUCGGCGCUGCCGCCCGUUCCGUUCCGGAGCGGUGACAGCGCGGCGACAGCGCGGCGGGAGCGGGGAGCCGAGUGCUGCGCUCAGCUCGCGCUGCCCUCCUCCCUCCUGGAGUCAAAAAUUAGGAAAUUGCCCCGAAGCGCUGAGCGCAGCCCCGGGGACGCGUCGCUCGGCCCUCGCAGCCCCGCUCUGCCCCUCCGUGCGCCGGUGCGGAGCAUCCCGAGGAAAUCGCCGAACAUCACUUCGGGGCUCUGCGAGCAACUUUUCUCCGUCCGCCUCCCUCCCCCCGGCCCCGCUCACCUCCCCGAGCUUCCUAUCGCGCGCUUCGCUCUCUUAGGGCCCGGGAAGGCAGCGGGGCUCAUGGGGAAAAAGUCCAACUUUGGUGAACGGCUGCCGAGGAGCCGCCCGGACCCCAUACAGACACCUCCGCGCUCAGGGCCGGCUCAGCGGGCGCGCACACGCACACAAACACGCACACACGUGCCCCGCUCGCGGCCCGAACGAGCCGCGGAACUGUUUGGUUGGUAACUGUACUCUUCCCUCCCUCCCCCCUUCUUUUUUUUUUUAAGGAAGAAAAAUGUAUUGAACUUCCGAUCGGACGGAUUUCAGCUGGAAACGCGGAGUCCUUCACGUGCAUUAGCUUCUCCGGGGGUCACGGUCCAUUUCAGAGAGCCGGAGCCCGUAAUUGUAUUAAGUGUCACAUUUACAAACAUAACGCUUACAAAACAAACGCACAAAAUCGAUGACUGCACGGGCUCUAUCUGCAAAGACUCCGCACACGAGGCUCGGCGCUGAGCUCGCCCUUCCCGGCAGUUCCAAAGCCAGGUACCGAUUAUUUCCCAGUCCCACCGUCAGACGACCACCCCUGCUCAGCGUCCCGCCCGCUCGGCACCGCGCCCGCCCCGAGCUCCGUCGCUGCCCCUUCCACCGCCCGUCCGCUCCGCAGCUCCCCGAGCGCGGCGGCGGCGGCUGAGCUGCGGGGGGCCCCGCGCGCGGACAGCGCGGCAGCGGCCAGCGGGGAUCCCCGGCUAAGUUCGCCAACUUGGCUCAGCCCCGAGCAGGGCGGGGGUUCGCCGGGAACCGCGGGGCGCACCGAGCGCCGGGCCCGGGCCCUCAGCCCCCCGCUGCAGGCGCGGAACAGAGCGGGGCGGCUGCUGGCACCGCCGGCUGUAGGGAGCGCACGGUGUCCCCCGGGUGCGCGGGGGCCGCUGCGGCUUCGCCCGGUGCGGAACAAAAGAGGAGCGGCGCGCAUCGGCGCUGCCGGGACGGACGCGCCUCUGCCAAGUUUGUUUAAGAACACGGCUGCCCGCGCCCGACAACGAUCUUCGGCUUUUGUGCAAUACAAAGCGUUGUCAAUAACCAUUACGGCGGCGGCAAUUAUCUGAGGAGAGAACAAAGGCAUUUUGUAAUAUCUACAUAACUUUAUUAGAGCAAAAUUAUUUUUAAAUGCCUACGAAUUCCCAAACCUCCUGAGUACAAAUGAAUAAAAGUUUUUUCUUCGGGCUAAGAUCUUUGCUUGAAUGUAAAUUGUUUGGGUAAGUAAAUUUACACAGCAGCAAAGUUUGUUUGGCUCAGUCCGGUAGCUGCGCUGUAACGAACCAGAUGUUUUGGCUGCAAAUUAUCCGGAGGACUUUGCCAGUUCUGCCACGCAUCGCGCCCCGGAACGCCAGAACCGGGGCAGCGAGGGCCGGGCAGCUCCCCCAGGCCCGGGAGCGAACCCCCAGCCCCAGCCCACCCCUCCCGGAGCCCCGCGGGCCGCGCACCGGCAAAGCGAGAACGGCGCGGCGGAGCAGAGCAGCGCGGCCCGGCCCUCCCCGCGGCCUUUCCCCGGGCACCGGCGGGGCCGGAGCGCGACCCGCAGCCGCUGCGGCCGGAGCUGAAGUCGGGCGGCUCGUGGAGAGCCGCGGCUGAUGCCGCCCGCGGAGCCGGGGGGGGUCGGGGCUGCUCCACUCGGCCCCGCCCGGCCCGGGCCGCCCCGCCCGCCGCCUCCGCGCCCACAGCGGCACUUUUGGGGGACGGUGCGCGGUGCCCUGAGAUCCGUCGCCGCGGUGCCGUCCCGCUGAAUUAUCGCUUCUUUUUUUGUCCCCCUUGAAAGGACUUGGGGGUCUCUGAAGAAACAAUCGGCCGCUGCUCUGAAGGAAAGGAGCGAUACCAUUCAGAGCUACUGUAGCGUAAUGUGUUCACUUGGGCAGUAGGAAAACCCUUUAUGAAAAUUAGUUACAGAGCCCGAAACUCCCCCCCGUGUGCCAACCGCAGCCAUUGUGCGCACAGGGCUCAGCGCAGCCCGCCCGCACGAAGUUGGCCCCGCUCCGGCUCGGGGAGCUCCACCGUGCAGCCCCCGGCGCUGGGGAGAGGCGGGAGGCGGCGGCGGGGCCGAGGCGGGGGGGAAAGGGAUCCCCGCCCGCUCCCUGCAUCACCCGGGGGUCGGCGCUGCCCGGCGAACGCGGCCGUGCCCUUGAGAGCGCCUGUGACCUCACGGCGGGGAGAUUUGGUUGUGCCCAGAUCCAUCCUGCAGCGGGAAAAAGCGCGGAGCGGAGCUUCUCC
rnacentral:lncRNA from 1 species